UCCCGUGUGGCUCAGUUGGUAGAGCAUGGUGUUUUGCAACGCCAGGGUUGUGGGGUUCGAUUCCCACGGGGGGAC
rnacentral:tRNA from 1 species